rnacentral:rRNA from 1 species
UACGUAGGUGGCGAGCGUUGUCCGGAUUUACUGGGCGUAAAGGGAGCGUAUGUGGACUUUUAAGUGAGAUGUGAAAUACCCGGGCUCAACUUGGGUGCUGCAUUUCAAACUGGAAGUCUAGAGUGCAGGAGAGGAGAAUGGAAUUCCUAGUGUAGCGGUGAAAUGCGUAGAGAUUAGGAAGAACACCAGUGGCGAAGGCGAUUCUCUGGACUGUAACUGACGCUGAGGCUCGAAAGCGUGGGGAGCAAACAGGAUUAGAUA